rnacentral:rRNA from 1 species
UACGAAGGGAGCUAGCGUUGUUCGGAAUCACUGGGCGUAAAGCGCACGUAGGCGGAUUGUUUAGUCAGGGGUGAAAUCCCGGAGCUCAACUUCGGAACUGCCUUUGAUACUGGCAAUCUCGAGUCCGAUAGAGGUGGGUGGAAUUCCUAGUGUAGAGGUGAAAUUCGUAGAUAUUCGCAAGAACACCAGUGGCGAAGGCGGCUCACUGGCCCGAUACUGACGCUGAGGCACGAAAGCGUGGGGAGCAAACAGG